CCCUUAGAUGUCCUGGGCCGCACGCGCGUACACUGAUGCAUUCAACGAGCUUAUAACCUUGGCCGAGAGGCCUGGGCAAUCUUGUUAACGUGCAUCGUGAUAGGGAUAGAUUAUUGAAAUUAUUAAUCUUGAACGAGGAAUUCCUAGUAAACGCAGAUCAUCAAUCUGCAUUGAUUACGUCCCUGCCCUUUGUACACACCGCCCGUCGCACCUACCGAUUGGAUGGUCCGGUGAAGCCUCGGGAUUGUGGUUCUUGCCGCUUUAUUGUGGCGUGACCGCGAGAACUUGUCUAAACCUUAUCAUCUAGAGGAAGGUGAAGUCGUAACA
rnacentral:rRNA from 1 species